rnacentral:misc_RNA from 1 species
CUUAGAACAAUGACUAUUACUCGAAAUGAUGCUAUCACGGAGCUGCCAGAAUCAGUUGGAGAGUUGCAGAAUCUCGUCAUAUUGAGAUUGACCAAAUGUAAGCGUCUGCACAAACUGCCAGAUUCUAUUGGGGAACUUAAGAACUUAGUACACUUGUUAAUGGAGGAGACUGCAGUAACAGUAUUACCUCAAACUUUUGGGAUGCUAUCGAGCUUAAUGAUUCUGAGGAUGGGAAAGAAGCCUUUCCUUCAGGUACCACAAAGUACUGAAAUCACAGAAACAGCUACCUAUGCAGAAAGGGAAACCGUACCUAUUGUGCUUCCUUCAUCUUUCUCAAAGUUAUCCUUGUUAGAAGAACUUAAUGCACGUGCAUGGCGAAUAGUUGGGAAAAUACCUGAUGAUUUUGAGAAACUGUCAUCUUUGGAGUUCAUCGAUCUCGGUCACAAUGAUUUUUCCCAUUUGCCGUCUAGUCUGAAAGGACUACAUUUCUUGAAAAAGCUCUUAAUUCCCCACUGCAAACAGCUGAAAGCUCUUCCUCCUCUUCCUUCAAGUUUGCUCGAGAUAAAUGCCGCAAAUUGUGGGGCACUAGAGAGCAUACAUGAUAUCUCAGAAUUAGUGUUCUUGCACGAACUAAACCUCGCAAAUUGCAUGAGUUUGGGCGACGUCCAAGGUGUCGAAUGCUUGAGAUCCUUAAAAAUGUUACAUAUGGUUGGAUGCAACGUCUCUUGUGCCUCUAUUGUUAGAAACAAACUUGAUAAGCUUGCUGUGAAGAACUUGGAUAAUUUGAGUAUUCCAGGCAAUGAAAUUCCAAGUUGGUUUACUCCGAAUGAGGUGCAUUUCUCAAAGCACGAAAACAAUGAUAUCAAAGCAGUGAUUAUUGCCAUAGUUGUUUCUGUGAACUGUGCUGAACCAGAUGAUUUACGGGAUGAACUGCCUGUAGUCCCUAAUAUCUUUGCGAAAAUCAUUAGAGCAAAUAGACCAGUAUUUACUACUGGCAUGUACUUGGCAGGAGUCCCAACAACGUCCGAGGAUCAAGUUUAUUUAUGCAGGCAUCAAGAUUAUCAUCCAUUAGUAUCUAUUCUUGAAGAUGGAGAUUCUAUACAUGUCGGCUUGGGCAACUUACCCGUUACAGGUAUUGAACUGAAGAAAUGUGGAAUACAUUUAGUACAAGAAAAUGAUGAUGACUAUGAAGGUAAUGAAGAAUCAUUGGAUGAAACCCAACAAUCUGUAUCAGAAAGAUUAACCAGGUUUUACGGAGCCUCUAACAGAGAGAGCAAUAUCUUCAACUCGAACUCAGCUCAAGAAGACGGAGAAGGGGAUGGAACAGGUAACUUUCUUAGUUUUGUUAAGGAGAUUUUUUGUGCUCUGAAGUACCUUUUCUUCAAGAGAUUUUAAACCUCAUGACCGCGGUUGAAUAUGAACGUCGUGUGUUUGUUUAUACUGUGAACAACAACGUACAGAUAGUUAUGCAGUGAACAAUAAUGCAG